UUUAAAAAUUUCAGUUGUUGCAUCAAAGCAGGCCGUGAUGUUUCAGGUCUCUUAAUGAGGAAGUAACCUGCCUGAUCUCCAAGGAGUAAAUUGCAUCUCAGAAGGAAACAAUCUCAGGAAACAUUAGUUCACUAAACAUAUGAAUCGGUCUGCUGGAUUUGAGGGUGAGAUGAGUCACUCAACUCCAGAAACGUUUUUUCUUUUACUGACAGAAGCAACAGUUUAAAGUUGAAGAGCUUUAAUCAUGGGUUUGUUUCUUGGACUAGAUGGACUAGCAUCAUGUAGAUUAUUGUGAUGUUUUUAUCAGCUGUUUGGACUCUCAUUCUGAUGUCACCCAUUCACUGCAGGGGAUCCACUGGUUAGCAAGAGAUGUAUUUCUACAUUUCUCCAAAUCUAUUCCACUGAAGAAAUAAACUCUACAUCUUGGAUAACCUGUGGGGCCAGUGAGGGAAAGAGAGUUUCAGUGGAGGAAAUCCUGCCAUCAUCUGAGACCCAGUCCCCCAUGAGAAAUGAUUCCUGGCACGCUUGCUGGGACCAGAGGCUGGAGAUAUAUGCUCAUACUGUAAUUACGGGAUGUAUGGAGCAUGACCUGUCAGACUGAGGGAAGUGCCUUGAUCGCUCCUUCAUCCUUCUCUCUUUCUCUCCGCACUGAUGUGUGUCCACAGCCCACUCUUGAACCAUCUGGAGGAGUGUGUGUGUUGUAUUGAGGAUGACAGGAGCUCUGACUCUCGCUGUGGGUCACUGUCAGACAGGCAGCAGGUGUUACGCAGAUUCUCCAGCCACACGAAUCCACAUUCUCAUGCAUGUUUACUCAUUUGAUCAACAUUCAUGGUCACUUGCUGAUUCAAAUUCUGAAUAUUAAAAUCAGGCCGCAAAAAGUCAUAGGUCAUAAUGUGUUUUUUUAUAAAUUAUAUCAAUUUUAGGAGUCAUUAAAAAUUCUAAAAAUGAAAACCACUUACAAUGUUAAUCAGUAAUUCAUAAUUUAGUUUUACAUCAGCACUUUGCACUCUUUCUCUGCCCCUUACAUUUAAAUUGGCCUUUUUUUGGCUGCUGUGCCUUUUAGACUUCUAUACAAAUGCCCUUUUCACAUGUGAAAUGAGCAACCACGCUCUGCUGUCGGAUCCAAUAUAGUGUUUAACUGCUCCAUCCUUCAAUAACAAGCUCUUUGCAAAGCCUGAAAUUACAUUGUGACGCUCGAACUGUUAAGGUCACACGGAUGUGACUAUUUCAGGGUUAAAUUUAAAAAUACUCUGUUUCGAAACAUCAGGGAAAAUUUGAUAAUGACCCCUUUAACCCUACUGCAUUAUAUUUGAUACACAUUUCUAAGGCCUCUAAAUGAUGAACAUGAUCAUUUCUUCAAAGAUGCUUUCUGUCGUCUGAUUGAUAAAUUUAUACUUUUUAACAAGUAAAAAGCCUUUUAGUAUAAUUUAACAAACGUGCAUCUUCAGCUCGUGCUCCAUGUGUCUACUGACUUUUAUCAAGUAAACAUAAGAAUAACUUUGAUAUUGUUACUAGUAUUUCAAGAUAAACAUUGGACUGAGGAGACUUAGCUUUUGCUUAUUCACUCAUCAUUUUUUAGAAAAUAUUAAAAUGCAAUUAUCAAAUAUGAUCAUUCAGGCUUUUGAGGAAUGUCUGUUUGCUCAUCUCUCAAUGUGUUUUCAUAAAAAAAAAUUGGCAUUUCAAUAUUCUUACUAAGAAUAAGAUAUAGAUUGACAACUAAUAUUUCUGUAAUUUUAUGUAAGGUAUCUGCUAUACUGUUUUCUCAUUGACUUACAUAACAAGCUUUCAAUAUUUUAUCCUGCUUUUUGUCUAUAUAAAUAUCAGCAUCUGCAUCAAACUGCAAGUUUUGCUCAGUUUGUGCCUCUGAAUAAAACUGAGCUGUUUUCCCUCCAUAUUGUCACUAUGUCAUACUAUAUGAACCAUAAAUGAACUAUAUGAACCACCUGGUGCAUCAAAUAUGAUACUCAACAAAAAUCACAUAUGCAUGCUCUAUUUAUAUAUAUAUAUAUAUAUAUAUAUAUAUAUAAAUCCAUUAUAUAUAUAAUCCAUUCCCACAGUGAACCUUGAAAUUAAUGCAUUCAGUACCAAAGAAUCUGUUCUGAUCUGAAGUGUAAUCAAUUCUACUAACCUUUAUAACCAUAAAUCUAUAAAUCAAAUCACUUUGAUUCAUGACUGUUCGUAUUGCAUCAUGAUGUGGGUUUGGUGAGUGGAGUCACGUUCAUUGUUCAUGAUUAGUGAGCUUUAACAAAUUUUUGGAAAGGUUUUGGAAGCAGUCUAUACAUUAGUAAAGAGAGAGAGAACUCAGACAGGCUCCUGAAAAAAUAUUACGCACAAUUGAACAGGUUAUGCUUUUUAUAUACACUAGUGUGAUUGCCAAGAAAAAUUCUUUUGUAUUUGACAAUGAUAAAUUACAUUUAGUCUGAUUAGUGCGGCACAAGCUGAAUAUUUUGUCCAUGUAUGGGACAGUGUGACUGCAGAAUCGACUGGGCUUUAAGAUUCAUUUGAGACUUCAUUUUAUUUGUGUGGGUUUUUUUCUUCAUCAGGCUUUUGAAGAAUGUUUAUUUGUUCAUCUCUUAAUCAUCA